AAUUUUUGUUAUUAUCAUAUUUUUGGUAGCAUUGAUGCCUCAGAGGAACCAAAACUGUAUCAACCAUCCUUAGGACGGCUAGUAAAUCAUGCAGACACAAAACAACAGAGAAAUUCGAGAAUGACAGUCAUUGGUGUGAAUGGGGUUCCUCAUCUUGUACUGUUUGCGACUAGAUUUGACUUGUCAUGAAAACUGCGACGAUGAGCCAGUUUAGUCUCCUGUAGAAUGCAGAGGAAGGUCUAAAGUUCGAUUGGUCAUGAGAACAACAACAGUGGUGUAACAUCGGCUUCCAAACGCAAAGCAGAAUUUCCAGUACAAACAGGCAAAAAUAUCAAGGUCGUUCCUUGGACAGAGAAGCAGUUAGCGGCCAUGCGAAGGUCAUUCGCCAAAAAUAUCCGCUGCUUAAGAGUUGCUAACAAGGAGGAAUGCGGACGAGCAAGGAAAAAUGAGAGCCUGUUGCUUUCUCGUGACUGGAAGAACAUCAAAUUCUGUGACCAUCAUGAAAUACAAAGAUUAAAGAAAAAAAAAGUUAACAGAAAAAGAAACAUCCGUUAAACUUGCAAUGAAAUCUAACAGACAUAUAUUUUCAAAAUGUAAAAAUGUUUAUGUGUGUUUUUUUUUACAUAAAGUCCCCAGACACUCGUUCAUGUACAGUAUUGAUUUUGCUGGAUGUUCAUCAUGAAAUAUCGACAAAUUACUAUCACGGGUUCGUUCAUGAAAAAAAAAAUGACUGAAAUAAAAGUAUUGUAGUUCUUCAAUUGAGGUUUUCGUUCUUGAUGAAAGCUAAAGAUUUAUCCAUUCUUCUAAGUUAUACCUUCCAAACAAUUCAUUCUUGCAGAAUUUGUACAGAACUUUUGUUUAUCAUUCAUUUACAUGUAUUUACGAUAAAUGCGUGUUCGCGGUCCGAAUACAUCUAUUCAUCCUUUGCACUGUGUUUGUUUUCAUCUUAACAGUGAUAGAAAUUUUUAAUUAAAUGC
rnacentral:lncRNA from 1 species